CCUACGGGAGGCAGCAGUCGGGAAUAUUGCACAAUGGAGGAAACCCUGAUGCAGCGACGCCGCGUGGAUGAAGAAGGUUUUCGGAUUGUAAACCCCUUUAGACAGGGAAGAAAGAAGACAGUACCUGUCGAAUAAGCUCCGGCUAACUACGUGCCAGCAGCCGCGGUAAUACGUAGGGAGCAAGCGUUAUCCGGAUUAAUUGGGUGUAAAGGGUGCGUAGACGGGAGUGUAAGCUAGUAGUGAAAGCCCGGGGCUUAACGGAGGAACUGCGAGUAAAACUGAAUUGCUAGAGUGCGGGAGAGGAAAGUGGAAUUCCUGGUGUAGCGGUGAAAUGCGUAGAUAUUAGGAGGAACACCAGUGGCGAAGGCGGCCUUCUGGACCGUGACUGACGUUGAGGCACGAAAGUGUGGGGAGCAAACAGGAUUAGAUACCCUUGUAGUC
rnacentral:rRNA from 1 species